rnacentral:rRNA from 1 species
AACGAACGCUGGCGGCAGGCUUAACACAUGCAAGUCGAACGCCCCGCAAGGGGAGUGGCAGACGGGUGAGUAACGCGUGGGAACAUACCCUUUCCUGCGGAAUAGCUCUGGGAAACUGGAAUUAAUACCGCAUACGCCCUACGGGGGAAAGAUUUAUCGGGGAAGGAUUGGCCCGCGUUGGAUUAGCUAGUUGGUGGGGUAAAGGCAUACCAAGGCGACGAUCCAUAGCUGGUCUGAGAGGAUGAUCAGCCACAUUGGGACUGAGACACGGCCCAAACUCCUACGGGAGGCAGCAGUGGGGAAUAUUGGACAAUGGGCGAAAGCCUGAUCCAGCCAUGCCGCGUGAGUGAUGAAGGCCUUAGGGUUGUAAAGCUCUUUCACCGAUGAAGAUAAUGACGGUAGUCGGAGAAGAAGCCCCGGCUAACUUCGUGCCAGCCGCCGCGGUAA